UGAGCAAUCUGCCCUUCUCAUCGGAAUAAGCGUUGGAAACGACGUCUAAUGCCGAAUACGACCUCCUUUCGCAUGAUCGGAGGUGGAAAGCUCCGGCGGAGAAGGAUGAGCUCGCGGCCUAUCAGCUAGUUGGUGUGGGUAAUGGCCCACCAAGGCGACGACGGGUAGCCGGCCUGAGAGGGUGACCGGCCACACUGGGACUAGACGACGCCGACGACUCCUACGGGUACGGGAGACGACGG
rnacentral:rRNA from 1 species